GGCCGUGAGCUGCAUGCUUGGGUUUUACCCUCUGCUGCUGCAAAACGAAACAGAAAUCACUGACAGUCGUGGACACCCAAGAGCAAGAGCAGCCUGGGAGACCUGGCAGCACACAGCUCUCUCUGAGCGAGCCAGAGGCUCACAGUUUCCGUCUGCAGCUUGCUACAAGACAUCGCCGUCCCCUGUGCACAGCAGCUCUUUGGAGUGGAAACCAGUGCGUGGGAGCGACGCGCAGCUGCCGCCCGAAUUUGCUUUUGUUUUGACCACUCUAAGGGACAACAAGCCUUGACAGGCUGGGAUUGAUGGUGCCAUUGGGAGCCUGGCAGCCAAACAACCACGCAGAGCGGCCGGCAGCGGCAGUUUUUGAGGAGCUGUCAGCAUGAUGGAGCACCCGGGCAGGGACCCCGCUCCCGCAGCGCCGGCAGGAUAGCCAACGCUGGACACGGGCUCUGCUGCUCCCGGUGGAUGCCGGCCCUUGGGGUUCAGCCCUGGAGCGGGGCUGCGGGAUGGGGGAGCGAUUGUCUCGGGGCUCUCGCAGGAGCUGGGCAGAGCCCAGCCCAGGGGAUUCGUUUUCACACCUCGUCAGCAGCUAAAGCAAAGGAUGAUUAAGGACCAGAGGGGCUGAAUCCAUCGCGCUCAGUGGUUCGAGCACAGCCCCAGGGAGGGGAUGGGGAAGGACCAGCGCUAUCACUUCUCUUCAGGCUUUACUUCUGGCCCUUUCAGUUUGAAAUGUACCUGCUCUGGGUGGGACUGCGCUGUGAGGAUGGGCAGGGGGGACAGCCAGCACGCCUGGGGCCUCUUGAGGAAAAUAAUGAAAGGCCCAUCCUCCCCAUCCAGCGAAAGCUUUUGUUCAGAAGAAAACCACAGAGGAGAGGAGACGUUUCAGUCACUUAGGCACAGGGCAUCUGAGCAGGCAUUACUGAGGGGCAGUUGUGGGCAUUGGGUGGCUGGGAACAAAGUGCCACCCCGCUUCACCUUCUCCAUCGCAAGUAAUAAAUCUUUAAUUUUAUAAGAGAGUGAUUCAAAUAAUCAGGUUUGGUUUUUACACCUCGAGAACUCAUAUUCCCAGUCACAAACUUGGAUA